rnacentral:rRNA from 1 species
UACGUAGGGUCCGAGCGUUGUCCGGAAUUAUUGGGCGUAAAGGGCUCGUAGGCGGUUUGUCACGUCGGGCGUGAAAACUCAGGGCUCAACCCUGAGCGUGCGUUCGAUACGGGCAGACUAGAGGUAUGCAGGGGAGAACGGAAUUCCUGGUGUAGCGGUGGAAUGCGCAGAUAUCAGGAGGAACACCGGUGGCGAAGGCGGUUCUCUGGACAUUACCUGACGCUGAGGAGCGAAAGCAUGGGGAGCGAACAGG